rnacentral:rRNA from 1 species
UGAAUACGAGAUGCUACGGCGUCGAAGCAGUGUAUGUCAGACUUCCAAGAAAAGCUCGCAAUGUCAUAAAUAAAGAAUGCCUGUACCAUAACCGACACAGGUGGGUAGGUAGAGUAUACUAAGGGGCGCGAGAUAACUCUCUCUAAGGAACUCGGCAAAAUAACUCCGUAACUUCGGGAGAAGGAGUGCCUUCUUUAAGAAGGUUGCAAUAACAAGAUCCAAGCAACUGUUUAUCAAAAACACAGGUCUCCGCUAAGUCGUAAGACGAUGUAUGGGGGCUGACGCCUGCCCAGUGCCAGAAGGUUAAAGAAGUUGGUUAGCUUUUGCGAAGCUGAUGACUGAAGCCCUGGUGAACGGCGGCCGUAACAAUAACGGUCCUAAGGUAGCGAAAUUCCUUGUCGGGUAAGUUCCGACCCGCACGAAAGGCGUAAUGAUUUGGAUACUGUCUCGGAGAGGGACUCGGUGAAAUAGACUUGUCUGUGAAGAUGCGGACUACCUGCACCAGGACAGAAAGACCCUAUGAAGCUUUACUGUAACUUGAAAUUGAAAUUGGACUUUAUUUGCGCAGUAUAGGUGGAAGGCGUUGAAAGUAAUCUUGCGGGAUUAGUGGAGCCAUCAGUGAGAUACCACUCCUAUAAUGUUAGAUUUCUAACUUUGGAUCAUGAUCUGGUCAAAGAACAGUUUCAGGCGGGCAGUUUGACUGGGGCGGUCGCCUCCCAAAUGGUAACGGAGGCGUACAAAGGUUUCCUCUGAACGGGUAGAAAUCGUAUCUAGAGUGUAAAGGCAUAAGGAAGCUUGACUGUGAGACCUACAAGUCGAGCAGGGACGAAAGUCGGUCUUAGUGAUCUGACGGUGCUGAGUGGAAAGGCCGUCACUCAACGGAUAAAAGUUACUCUAGGAUAACAGGCUGAUCUCCCCCAAGAGUUCACAUCGACGGGGAGGUUUGGCACCUCGAUGUCGGCUCAUCGCAUCCUGGGGCGGUAGUACGUCCCAAGGGUUGGGCUGUUCGCCCAUGAAAGCGGUACGCGAGCUGGGUUCAGAACGUCGUGAGACAGUUCGGUCCAUAUCCGGUGUAGGCGUUAGAAUAUUGAGAGGAGCCUUCUUUAGUACGAGAGGACCGAGAAGGACAUACCUCUGGUGUACCAGUUAUCGUGCCAACGGUAAACGCUGGGUAGCUAUGUAUGGAGAGGAUAACCGCUGAAAGCAUCUAAGUGGGAAGCCCACCUCAAGAUGAGUAUUCGC